UGUGAACUUGGCAAAGUAGGAGGAC
rnacentral:piRNA from 1 species